GACGUAGGGGCGCGAGCGUUGUCCGGAUUUAUUGGGCGUAAAGAGCUCGUAGGCGGCUUGUCGCGUCGAAUGUGAAAUCUCCAGGGCUCAACUCUGACAUUGCAUUCGAUACGGGCAGGCUCGAGCUCGGUAGGGGAGACUGGAAUUCCUGGUGUAGCGGUGAAAUGCGCAGAUAUCAGGAGGAACACCGGUGGCGAAGGCGGGUCUCUGGGCCGAUACUGACGCUGAGGAGCGAAAGCGUGGGGAGCGAACAGG
rnacentral:rRNA from 1 species